rnacentral:rRNA from 1 species
GAUGAACGCUGGCGGCGUGCCUAAUACAUGCAAGUCGAGCGAACGGACGAUAAUCUUGCGUCUCGGAUGUUAGCGGCGGACGUGUGAGUAACACGUGUAUAACCUACCUAUAAGACUGGGAUAACUUCGGGAAACCGGAUCUAAUACCGGAUAAUAUUCUGAACCGCAGGGGUCAAAAGUGAAAGACGGUCUUGCGGUCACUUAUAGCUGGAUCCGCGCUGCAUUAGCUAGUUGGUAAGUUAACGGAUUACCAAGGCAACGAGGCAUAGCCGACCUGAGAGGGUGAUCGGCGACCAGGGAACUGAGCCAGGGUCAAGAGGACUAAGGUAGGAAGCAGACGGGAAUCGUACGCAAUGGGGGAAAGCCUGACGGAGCGAAGGGGAGUGAGUGAUGAAGGUGUUAGGAUCGGAAAAACCUGUUAUUAGGGAAGAACAUAUGUGGACGUAACUGUGACGAUAUUGACGGUACCUAAUAAGAAAGCCACGGCUAACUACGUG